rnacentral:rRNA from 1 species
UAUGCGCCUUGCCAGCCCGCUCAGGUGUGCCAGCCGCCGCGGUAAUACGUAGGGGCAAGCGUUAUCCGGAUUUAUUGGGUUUAAAGGGUGCGUAGGUGGUUAAUUAAGUCAGCGGUGAAAGUUUGUGGCUCAACCAUAAAAUUGCCGUUGAAACUGGUUGACUUGAGUAUAUUUGAGGUAGGCGGAAUGCGUGGUGUAGCGGUGAAAUGCAUAGAUAUCACGCAGAACUCCGAUUGCGAAGGCAGCUUACUAAACUAUAACUGACACUGAAGCACGAAAGCGUGGGGAUCAAACAGG